UUACUCUGGUUUCCCUUCANAUCGNAUAAAUCUUUCGCCUUUUACUAAAGAUUUCCGUGGAGGGGAACAACGCAAUGAGUCUAUGGACUAAUUUUUUGUCGCCCUGCUUUAACGGCGGGGCU
rnacentral:snRNA from 1 species